CUGUGUCUACGGUUGAGAGUUGGUCCUGGUGCAGCGAACCCUCUGCUUCCGUGCCCCUCACAAGGCUAUAAUCAGGCUGUCACCCAGAAUGCAAGCCCCUGUGAAGAAUCAACGGAGGGCUUAGUCGGCUUUUCAUUUACCUACAUGGCAUUCUUUUGUGUUGAUCUUCAGGGCAUUACAUUUGGGCCAGCUGAUGGCAUAGCAACAUGACACCUGCUUCACUGAGUCAAGUUACUUUUCUUUUGAAAAACUCAUCAAAUAAGUGGAAACAGCAAGGAUAGCUUUGUCUAAAGCAUGCCAUCUCAGGAAUUCUUCAGGAAUAUUUAGCUUCUUCCGGACUCUCUCUGGGGAAAAAACAUAUUUCAAGAUAUCCAUAAAGUCUAUAAAUAAAAAGGAACAGAGCCUUAUUACACAGAAAUUUUGCCCAUUAAAGUUAGAAUUCCAUUAUGGAAGAGGCUAUUAUGAGAUGAAAGGGACUGGAAAUAA